rnacentral:rRNA from 1 species
GAUGAACGCUAGCGGCGCGCUUAAUGCAUGUAAGUCGAGCGAUGAGUCUCGCAAGGGACAUCAGCGGCAGACGGGUGAGUAACACGUAGGUGACCUACCCUCAAGUCAGGGAUAACGGGUGGAAACACACGCUAAUACCGGAUGGACUCAGUCGGUCAAAGGGCUGAGGAAAGCUACGGUGCUUGGGGAGGGCCUGCGGCCCAUCAGCUAGUUGGUAGGGUAACGGCCUACCAAGGCGCAGACGGGUAGGGGUGUGAGAGCACGGCCCCCCACAAUGGGACUGAGAGACGGCCCAUACUCCUACGGGAGGCAG